CCAAUAGCGUAUAUUAAAGUUGUUGCAGUUAAAAAGCUCGUAGUUGAACUUCGGGGUUCACUUAUUGGUCAGGCUUAAUUGUCUGUACUGGUGAGAUGAAUCUCUACCUUCUGAGGAACUUUCAUGCCAUUUAUUUAGUGUGAUUGGAAAUCAGGACUGUUACUUUGAAAAAAUUAGAGUGUUUAAAGCAGGCUAACGUCUGAAUACAUUAGCAUGGAAU
rnacentral:rRNA from 1 species